rnacentral:rRNA from 1 species
GAUGAACGCUAGCGACAGGCUUAACACAUGCAAGUCGAGGGGCAGCACAGGUAGCAAUACCGGGUGGCGACCGGCGCACGGGUGAGUAACGCGUAUGCAACUUACCUAUCAGAGGGGGAUAACCCGGCGAAAGUCGGACUAAUACCGCAUGAAGCAGGGGCCCCGCAUGGGGAUAUUUGCUAAAGAUUCAUCGCUGAUAGAUAGGCAUGCGUUCCAUUAGGCAGUUGGCGGGGUAACGGCCCACCAAACCGACGAUGGAUAGGGGUUCUGAGAGGAAGGUCCCCCACAUUGGUACUGAGACACGGACCAAACUCCUACGGGAGGCAGCAGUGAGGAAUAUUGGUCAAUGGGCGUAAGCCUGAACCAGCCAAGUCGCGUGAGGGAUGAAGGUUCUAUGGAUCGUAAACCU